rnacentral:rRNA from 1 species
UAUGACUCUCGGCAAUGGAUAUCUUGGCUCUUGCAUCGAUGAAGAACGCAGCGAAAUGCGAUACGUGGUGUGAAUUGCAGAAUCCCGUGAACCAUCAAGUCUUUGAACGCAAGUUGCGCCCGAGGCCAAUUGGCUAAGGGCACGUCCGCCUGGGCGUCAAGC